UACGUAGGGACCAAGCGUUGUUCGGAUUUACUGGGCGUAAAGGGCGCGUAGGCGGCAAUUCAAGUCAGCUGUGAAAUCUCCGGGCUUAACUCGGAACGGUCAGCUGAUACUGCUUUGCUAGAGUGCAGAAGGGGCAAUCGGAAUUCUUGGUGUAGCGGUGAAAUGCGCAGAUAUCAGGAGGAACACCGGUGGCGAAGGCGGGUCUCUGGGCCGAUACUGACGCUGAGGAGCGAAAGCGUGGGGAGCGAACAGG
rnacentral:rRNA from 1 species